ACGGGAGGCAGCAGUGGGGAAUAUUGGGCAAUGGGCGAAAGCCUGACCCAGCAACGCCGCGUGAAGGAAGAAGGUUUUCGGAUUGUAAACUUCUUUUAUCAGGGACGAAGAAUGUGACGGUACCUGAUGAAUAAGCCACGGCUAACUACGUGCCAGCAGCCGCGGUAAUACGUAGGUGGCAAGCGUUAUCCGGAUUUACUGGGUGUAAAGGGCGCGUAGGCGGGGAUGCAAGUCAGAUGUGAAAUCCAUGGGCUUAACCCAUGAACUGCAUUUGAAACUGUAUUUCUUGAGUGUCGGAGAGGUAGACGGAAUUCCUAGUGUAGCGGUGAAAUGCGUAGAUAUUAGGAGGAACACCAGUGGCGAAGGCGACUUUCUGGACCGCAACUGACGUUGAGGCACGAAAAUGUGGGGAGCAAACAGGAUUAGAUACCCUGGUA
rnacentral:rRNA from 1 species